UGUGAAACGAUGAGCUCGGCCGAGGACGAGAGGGAAGGGAAUGAAGUCUCUUCUUCUGAUUCUGGCUCUAUAGGGCUUGUUUCCUACACGGAGGCUGCGCUUGCAGCUCUGGAGGAUGCAAAUCUUGAAACCUUUCGGCAUACGCUGCGGGGACUCACAAG